rnacentral:rRNA from 1 species
GUUUGAUCCUGGCUCAGGAUGAACGCUGGCGGCGUGCUUAACACAUGCAAGUCGAACGAACCUUCGGGUUAGUGGCGGACGGGUGAGUAACGCGUGGGAAUCUGCCCUCAGGAGGGGGAUAACGGCUGGAAACGGCCGCUAAUACCCCAUAUGCCGAGAGGUGAAAUGAAUUUCGCCUGAGGAUGAGCCCGCGUCUGAUUAGCUAGUUGGUGUGGUAAUGGCUCACCAAGGCUUCGAUCAGUAGCUGGUCUGAGAGGAUGAUCGGCCACACUGGGACUGAGACACGGCCCAGACUCCUACGGGAGGCAGCAGUGGGGAAUUUUCCGCAAUGGGCGAAAGCCUGACGGAGCAACGCCGCGUGAGGGAUGAAGGCCUCUGGGCUGUAAACCUCUUCUUUCAAGGAAGAAGACCUGACGGUACUUGAAGAAUAAGCCACGGCUAAUUCCGUGCCAGCAGCCGCGGUAAUACGGGAGUGGCAAGCGUUAUCCGGAAUUAUUGGGCGUAAGGCGUCCGCAGGCGGCCCUGAAAGUCUGUCGUUAAAGCGUGGAGCUCAACUCCAUUUAAGCGAUGGAAACUACAGGGCUAGUGUGUGGUAGGGGCAGAGGGAAUUCCCGGUGUAGCGGUGAAAUGCGUAGAUAUCGGGAAGAACACCAGUGGCGAAGGCGCUCUGCUGGGCCAUAACUGACGCUCAUGGACGAAAGCCAGGGGAGCGAAAGGGAUUAGAUACCCCUGUAGCCCUGGCCGUAAACGAUGAACACUAGGUGUCGGGGGAAUCGACCCCCUCGGUGUCGAAGCCAACGCGUUAAGUGUUCCGCCUGGGGAGUACGCACGCAAGUGUGAAACUCAAAGGAAUUGACGGGGGCCCGCACAAGCGGUGGAGUAUGUGGUUUAAUUCGAUGCAACGCGAAGAACCUUACCAGGGUUUGACAUCCUGCGAAUCCCUUGGAAACGAGGGAGUGCCUUCGGGAGCGCAGAGACAGGUGGUGCAUGGCUGUCGUCAGCUCGUGUCGUGAGAUGUUGGGUUAAGUCCCGCAACGAGCGCAACCCACGUCGUUAGUUGCCAGCAUUCAGUUGGGCACUCUAGCGAGACCGCCGGUGAUAAACCGGAGGAAGGUGUGGAUCACGUCAAGUCAUCAUGCCCCUUACAUCCUGGGCUACACACGUACUACAAUGCUACGGACAAAGGGCAGCAAGCUCGCGAGAGUUAGCAAAUCCCAUAAACCGUGGCUCAGUUCAGAUCGUAGGCUGCAACUCGCCUACGUGAAGGAGGAAUCGCUAGUAAUCGCAGGUCAGCAUACUGCGGUGAAUACGUUCCCGGGCCUUGUACACACCGCCCGUCACACCAUGGAAGUUGGCCACGCCCGAAGUCGUUACUCCAACCCUUGU